UCGAACGGCACCCCUCUCCGGAGGGAAGCGAGUGGCGAACGGCUGAGUAACACGUGGAGAACCUGCCCCCUCCCCCGGGAUAGCCGCCCGAAAGGACGGGUAAUACCGGAUACCCCCGGGCGCCGCAUGGCGCCCGGGCUAAAGCCCCGACGGGAGGGGAUGGCUCCGCGGCCCAUCAGGUAGACGGCGGGGUGACGGCCCACCAAGCCGACGAUCAGUAGCCGACCUGAGAGGGUGACCGGCCACAUUGGGACUGAGACACGGCCCAGACUCCUACGGGAGGCAGCAUG
rnacentral:rRNA from 1 species